rnacentral:rRNA from 1 species
GCGUGGAGCCGACCUUGAAAUACCACCCUUUAAUGUUUGAUGUUCUAACGUGGAUCCGUAAUCCGGGUUGCGGACAGUGUCUGGUGGGUAGUUUGACUGGGGCGGUCUCCUCCUAAAGAGUAACGGAGGAGCACGAAGGUUGGCUAAUCCUGGUCGGACAUCAGGAGGUUAGUGCAAUGGCAUAAGCCAGCUUGACUGCGAGCGUGACGGCGCGAGCAGGUGCGAAAGCAGGUCAUAGUGAUCCGGUGGUUCUGAAUGGAAGGGCCAUCGCUCAACGGAUAAAAGGUACUCCGGGGAUAACAGGCUGAUACCGCCCAAGAGUUCAUAUCGACGGCGGUGUUUGGCACCUCGAUGUCGGCUCAUCACAUCCUGGGGCUGAAGUAGGUCCCAAGGGUAUGGCUGUUCGCCAUUUAAAGUGGUACGCGAGCUGGGUUUAGAACGUCGUGAGACAGUUCGGUCCCUAUCUGCCGUGGGCGCUGGAGAACUGAGGGGGGCUGCUCCUAGUACGAGAGGACCGGAGUGGACGCAUCACUGGUGUUCGGGUUGUCAUGCCAAUGGCACUGCCCGGUAGCUAAAUGCGGAAGAGAUAAGUGCUGAAAGCAUCUAAGCACGAAACUUGCCCCGAGAUGAGUUCUCCCUGAGACUUAGAGUCUCCUGAAGGAACGUUGAAGACGACGACGUUGAUAGGCCGGGUGUGUAAGCGCAGCGAUGCGUUGAGCUAACCGGUACUAAUGAACCGUGAGGCUUAACCUUACAACGCCGAAG